rnacentral:rRNA from 1 species
ACGUACACUCCUGCGGGAGGCAGCAGUGAGGAAUAUUGGACAAUGGGUGGAAGCCUGAUCCAGCCAUCCCGCGUGCAGGAAGACGGCCCUAUGGGUUGUAAACUGCUUUUAUCUGGGGAUAAACCUACUUACGUGUAAGUAGCUGAAGGUACCAGAAGAAUAAGCGCCGGCUAACUCCGUGCCAGCAGCCGCGGUAAUACGGAGGGUGCAAGCGUUAUCCGGAUUUAUUGGGUUUAAAGGGUCCGUAGGCGGACUGAUAAGUCAGUGGUGAAAUCCGACAGCUUAACUGUCGAACUGCCAUUGAUACUGUUAGUCUUGAGUAAGGUUGAAGUGGCUGGAAUAAGUAGUGUAGCGGUGAAAUGCAUAGAUAUUACUUAGAACACCAAUUGCGAAGGCAGGUCACUAAGUCUUAACUGACGCUGAUGGACGAAAGCGUGGGGAGCGAACAGGAUUAGAAACCCCAGUAGUCCCAUGAU